GGGGUGGUGGUGUAGUUGGCUAGUACAUAGGUCUCAUAGCCUCUGAGUUAUCCUAAGGUUGAAAGUUCGAGCCUCUCUCACCCCA
rnacentral:tRNA from 1 species